rnacentral:rRNA from 1 species
GAUGAACGCUGGCGGCGUGCCUAAUACAUGCAAGUCGAGCGAACAGAUAAGGAGCUUGCUCCUUUGACGUUAGCGGCGGACGGGUGAGUAACACGUGGAUAACCUACCUAUAAGACUGGGAUAACUUCGGGAAACCGGAGCUAAUACCGGAUAAGAUUUUGAACCGCAUGGUUCAAUAGUGAAAGACGGCCUUGCUGUCACUUAUAGAUGGAUCCGCGCCGUAUUAGCUAGUUGGUAAGGUAACGGCUUACCAAGGCAACGAUACGUAGCCGACCUGAGAGGGUGAUCGGUCACACUGGAACUGAGACACGGUCCAGACUCCUACGGGAGGCAGCAGUAGGGAAUCUUCCGCAAUGGGCGAAAGCCUGACGGAGCAACGCCGCGUGAGUGAUGAAGGUCUUCGGAUCGUAAAACUCUGUUAUCAGGGAAGAACAAACGUGUAAGUAACUGUGCACGUCUUGACGGUAACUGAUCAGAAAGCCACGGCUAACUACGUG